CACAAACACAUACACGAAGAAAACGGCGGUGGCGUUUGUUGUUGUUUGUUGUUGUUUGUUGUUGUCAGCUGACAGACAGCCACAUGGAGGGCCACAGAGAGGUGCUGGACAGACAAAAUCUCCUGAAUGAAGCGAAUAAUGAGUUUAACAGCCAUCAUUGGAAACGCGCAGAGGAUUUGUACACGGAGUUCAUCGACAUCUGCAUGGCGUCUGGAGAACGCGAUAGUAAUGACCUCGCCAUAGCCUUCAAUAACCGCGGCCAGGUGAAGUACUUCCGGGUUGAUUUUUAUGAAGCCGUGGAUGAUUACAGCGCAGCUAUUAAAGCCAACAGGCAGUUUGAAGUGGCUUACUACAACCGAGGAUUAAUACGGUACAGACUGGACACUUGGCCAUGUGGGGAAUUUAUGUACCAUGCUGGCAUCGAAGACCUUGCCAGUUUUGCCAACUCUUUCCAGGGGAAAGUAGAUGAAUGAAAGUGCAUGCUCAAAAGUUCUCUAGAAUUCACCAGAUGCCCUCACAGGCUAAUUUGCCUAUUUGUUGAUUCGUCACGAAUUCGGUAAUUUGGAUAACAAGUAGGAAGAAGGAUGUUUUUCUGAAGACAUGUAGAACAGAAUAAAGCUGUAGGAAAAGAAGAAAAAAAAACGGUGUAUAUGAUGGGCUCCUGAGUGGUGUAACGUGCCAGUGCGACAGCUGUCCGAGUCAAGCCAUCAAAAUUGUUUUGCGAUGAACGUCUUAUCACAGCAACACUAGCCAAUCGUGAGGUUUCUUUCAAGAUGCCGAAAGCGAUUUUAAGAAAGCGUUGGAAAUAAACGCCAACUUCGAAGAUGCCAGACUAAGUUUGCAUCAGACAAUUCUCGACUGUGAAGAAAAGACAAGGAGAG